GAGGGUGAUUAAAAAUUUUCACUUACAAUGAAGAAUACCUUGUUGGGCACUCUCAC
rnacentral:tRNA from 1 species